UGGGGAAUUUUGGACAAUGGGCGCAAGCCUGAUCCAGCCAUGCCGCGUGCGGGAAGAAGGCCUUCGGGUUGUAAACCGCUUUUGUCAGGGAAGAAAUCUUCUGAGUUAAUACCUCGGGAGGAUGACGGUACCUGAAGAAUAAGCACCGGCUAACUACGUGCCAGCAGCCGCGGUAAUACGUAGGGUGCAAGCGUUAAUCGGAAUUACUGGGCGUAAAGCGUGCGCAGGCGGUUUUGUAAGACAGAGGUGAAAUCCCCGGGCUCAACCUGGGAACUGCCUUUGUGACUGCAAGGCUUGAGUGCGGCAGAGGGGGGAUGGAAUUCCGCGUGUAGCAGUGAAAUGCGUAGAUAUGCGGAGAAACACCGAUGGCGAAGGCAAUCCCCUGGGCCUGCACUGACGCUCAUGCACGAAAGCGUGGGGAGCAAACAGGAUUAGAUAGCCCUGGUAGUCCACGCCCUAAAACGAUGUCAACUGGUUGUUGGGAAGGUUCCUUCUCAGUAACGUAGCUAACGCGUGAAGUUGACCGCCUGGGGAGUACGGCCGCAAGGUUG
rnacentral:rRNA from 1 species